CUGAAGUGAUUUGGGGAUGUUGCUGGCCCCUUCUCAGGGGCAAAUGUGCACUCCCUGAACAAUUCACAAUUUCCAUCACACCCUUGUGCAUAUUAUGUAGGCGCCCCCCUCUCCUCUCCAUGGGGUUGGGUGGUCCUAUGUAUUCUAUCAUCUCACACUUUUUUUGAAUGGUGCUCUCGAAUGCAUCUUAUGGAUUAUUUAUAAUCGUAGAAA
rnacentral:misc_RNA from 1 species